UACGUAGGGCCCGAGCGUUGUCCGGAAUUAUUGGGCGUAAAGAGCUCGUAGGCGGUUUGUCGCGUCUGCUGUGAAAUCCCGAGGCUCAACCUCGGGUCUGCAGUGGGUACGGGCAGACUGGAGUGCGGUAGGGGAGAAUGGAAUUCCUGGUGUAGCGGUGGAAUGCGCAGAUAUCAGGAGGAACACCGAUGGCGAAGGCAGUUCUCUGGGCCGUAACUGACGCUGAGGAGCGAAAGCGUGGGGAGCGAACAGG
rnacentral:rRNA from 1 species